rfam:Myotis brandtii contig168640, whole genome shotgun sequence.
GUGCUCACUUUGGCAGAACACAUACUAAAAUUUGAAUAAUGCAAAGAUUAACAUGUCUGCUGCACAAGGAUGACACGCAAAUUCGUUGUGUUCCACACUUUUAU